UACGUAGGUGGCAAGCGAUACUCGGAAUCACUAGGCGUAAAGCGCAGGUAGGCGGUUCAGUAAGUCUUUUGUGAAAGCUCCCGGCUCAACUGGGAGAGGCCAAGGGAAACUACUGGACUAGAGUGUGGUAGGGGAUACUGGAAUUCCUGGUGUAGCGGUGAAAUGCGUAGAUAUCAGGAGGAACACCCGUAGCGAAGGCGGCACUCUGGGCCGGUACUGACGCUGAGGAGCGAAAGCGUGGGGAGCAAACAGG
rnacentral:rRNA from 1 species